rnacentral:rRNA from 1 species
UCCUGCCGGAGGCCAUUGCUAUCGGAGUCCGAUUUAGCCAUGCUAGUCGCACGGGUUUAGACCCGUGGCGGAAAGCUCAGUAACACGUGGCCAAACUGUCCUAUGGAUCGAGACAACCUCGGGAAACUGAGGCUAAUCUCGAAUAAGGCUUCCACUCUGGAGUGAGGGGAGCUGGAAACGCUCCGGCGCCAUAGGAUGUGGCUGCGGCCGAUUAGGUAGACGGUGGGGUAACGGCCCACCGUGCCGAUAAUCGGUACGGGUUGUGAGAGCAAGAGCCCGGAGACGGAUUCUGAGACAAGAAUCCGGGCCCUACGGGGCGCAGCAGGCGCGAAAACUUUACACUGCACGACAGUGCGAUAAGGGGACUCCGAGUGCGAGGGCAUAUAGUCCUCGCUUUUGUACACCGUAGGGUGGUGUACGAAUAAGGGCUGGGCAAGACCGGUGCCAGCCGCCGCGGUAAUACCGGCAGCCCGAGUGAUGGCCGCUAUUAUUGGGCCUAAAGCGUCCGU